AUCUGGCUUAGUUAGGAGGCAUAAAUUGAUGGUUUUAUUCAACCUUCUCAGGCCUUUUUGAGGGGACUCCACUCAUAAUCUUAUGGUGUCCCCCAAGCAGCCUUGGACAUUU